rnacentral:rRNA from 1 species
GGUUAAGCGACUAAGCGUACACGGUGGAUGCCCUGGCAGUCAGAGGCGAUGAAGGACGUGCUAAUCUGCGAUAAGCGUCGGUAAGGUGAUAUGAACCGUUAUAACCGGCGAUUUCCGAAUGGGGAAACCCAGUGUGUUUCGACACACUAUCAUUAACUGAAUCCAUAGGUUAAUGAGGCGAACCGGGGGAACUGAAACAUCUAAGUACCCCGAGGAAAAGAAAUCAACCGAGAUUCCCCCAGUAGCGGCGAGCGAACGGGGAGCAGCCCAGAGCCUGAAUCAGUGUGUGUGUUAGUGGAAGCGUCUGGAAAGGCGCGCGAUACAGGGUGACAGCCCCGUACACAAAAAUGCACAUGCUGUGAGCUCGAUGAGUAGGGCGGGACACGUGGUAUCCUGUCUGAAUAUGGGGGGACCAUCCUCCAAGGCUAAAUACUCCUGACUGACCGAUAGUGAACCAGUACCGUGAGGGAAAGGCGAAAAGAACCCCGGCGAGGGGAGUGAAAAAGAACCUGAAACCGUGUACGUACAAGCAGUGGGAGCACGCUUAGGCGUGUGACUGCGUACCUUUUGUAUAAUGGGUCAGCGACUUAUAUUCUGUAGCAAGGUUAACCGAAUAGGGGAGCCGAAGGGAAACCGAGUCUUAACUGGGCGUUAAGUUGCAGGGUAUAGACCCGAAACCCGGUGAUCUAGCCAUGGGCAGGUUGAAGGUUGGGUAACACUAACUGGAGGACCGAACCGACUAAUGUUGAAAAAUUAGCGGAUGACUUGUGGCUGGGGGUGAAAGGCCAAUCAAACCGGGAGAUAGCUGGUUCUCCCCGAAAGCUAUUUAGGUAGCGCCUCGUGAAUUCAUCUCCGGGGGUAGAGCACUGUUUCGGCAAGGGGGUCAUCCCGACUUACCAACCCGAUGCAAACUGCGAAUACCGGAGAAUGUUAUCACGGGAGACACACGGCGGGUGCUAACGUCCGUCGUGAAGAGGGAAACAACCCAGACCGCCAGCUAAGGUCCCAAAGUCAUGGUUAAGUGGGAAACGAUGUGGGAAGGCCCAGACAGCCAGGAUGUUGGCUUAGAAGCAGCCAUCAUUUAAAGAAAGCGUAAUAGCUCACUGGUCGAGUCGGCCUGCGCGGAAGAUGUAACGGGGCUAAACCAUGCACCGAAGCUGCGGCAGCGACACUAUGUGUUGUUGGGUAGGGGAGCGUUCUGUAAGCCUGUGAAGGUGUACUGUGAGGUAUGCUGGAGGUAUCAGAAGUGCGAAUGCUGACAUAAGUAACGAUAAAGCGGGUGAAAAGCCCGCUCGCCGGAAGACCAAGGGUUCCUGUCCAACGUUAAUCGGGGCAGGGUGAGUCGACCCCUAAGGCGAGGCCGAAAGGCGUAGUCGAUGGGAAACAGGUUAAUAUUCCUGUACUUGGUGUUACUGCGAAGGGGGGACGGAGAAGGCUAUGUUGGCCGGGCGACGGUUGUCCCGGUUUAAGCGUGUAGGCUGGUUUUCCAGGCAAAUCCGGAAAAUCAAGGCUGAGGCGUGAUGACGAGGCACUACGGUGCUGAAGCAACAAAUGCCCUGCUUCCAGGAAAAGCCUCUAAGCAUCAGGUAACAUCAAAUCGUACCCCAAACCGACACAGGUGGUCAGGUAGAGAAUACCAAGGCGCUUGAGAGAACUCGGGUGAAGGAACUAGGCAAAAUGGUGCCGUAACUUCGGGAGAAGGCACGCUGAUAUGUAGGUGAAGUCCCUCGCGGAUGGAGCUGAAAUCAGUCGAAGAUACCAGCUGGCUGCAACUGUUUAUUAAAAACACAGCACUGUGCAAACACGAAAGUGGACGUAUACGGUGUGACGCCUGCCCGGUGCCGGAAGGUUAAUUGAUGGGGUUAGCGCAAGCGAAGCUCUUGAUCGAAGCCCCGGUAAACGGCGGCCGUAACUAUAACGGUCCUAAGGUAGCGAAAUUCCUUGUCGGGUAAGUUCCGACCUGCACGAAUGGCGUAAUGAUGGCCAGGCUGUCUCCACCCGAGACUCAGUGAAAUUGAACUCGCUGUGAAGAUGCAGUGUACCCGCGGCAAGACGGAAAGACCCCGUGAACCUUUACUAUAGCUUGACACUGAACAUUGAGCCUUGAUGUGUAGGAUAGGUGGGAGGCUU